rnacentral:rRNA from 1 species
UACGUAGGGAGCAAGCGUUGUCCGGAAUCAUUGGGCGUAAAGCGCGCGUAGGCGGCCCUGUAAGUCCGCUGUGAAAGUCAAAGGCUCAACCUUUGAAAGCCGGUGGAUACUGCAGGGCUAGAGUCCGGAAGAGGCGAGUGGAAUUCCUGGUGUAGCGGUGGAAUGCGCAGAUAUCAGGAGGAACACCAAUAGCGAAGGCAGCUCGCUGGGACGGUACUGACGCUAAGGGCGCGAAAAGCGUGGGGAGCGAACAGG